rnacentral:rRNA from 1 species
UAAAAAUUUAAUUUAAAGUAUUAAAGUAGUAUUAGUUAAGAUCUUGAAAUUUAAAAAAUUUGGCGGUAUUUUAGUCUAUUCAGAGGAACCUGUUUUGUAAUCGAUAAUCCACGAUGGAUCUCACUUAAAUUUGUUUUUAUAGUUUAUAUAUCGUUGUUUAUAGAAUAUUUUAUAAAAAUAAUAAUUUUCUUGAUUUUUAAUUAGAAAUUAUGUCAGAUCAAGAUGUAGCUUAUGUUUAAGUUUAUAAUGGGUUACAUUGUUAUUAUUAUAUUGGAAAUGAAUUUGUAAUUAAUUUAUUAAAAUUGGAUUUGAUAGUAAAUUUAUAAAGAUAAAUAAAUUGAUUAUAGCUCUAAAAUAUG